rnacentral:rRNA from 1 species
UACGUAGGCAGCAAGCGUUGUUCGGAGUUACUGGGCGUAAAGGGUGCGUAGGCGGUCCUAUAAGUAUGGUGUGAAAUCUCCCGGCUUAACUGGGAGGGUGCGCUAUAGACUGUGGGACUAGAGUGUGGGAGAGGAAAGUGGAAUUCCUGGUGUAGCGGUGAAAUGCGUAGAUAUCAGGAGGAACACCGGUGGUGUAAACGGCUUUCUGGACCAUAACUGACGCUGAGGCACGAAAGCGUGGGUAGUAAACAGG